GACGAACGCUGGCGGCGUGCCUAAUACAUGCAGGUAGAACGCUGAAGAGAGGAGCUUGCUCUUCUUGGAUGAGUUGCGAACGGGUGAGUAACGCGUAGGUAACCUGCCUUGUAGCGGGGGAUAACUAUUGGAAACGAUAGCUAAUACCGCAUAACAAUGGAUGACACAUGUCAUUUAUUUGAAAGGGGCAAUUGCUCCACUACAAGAUGGACCUGCGUUGUAUUAGCUAGUAGGUGAGGUAAUGGCUCACCUAGGCGACGAUACAUAGCCGACCUGAGAGGGUGAUCGGCCACACUGGGACUGAGACACGGCCCAGACUCCUACGGGAGGCAGCAGUAGGGAAUCUUCGGCAAUGGGGGCAACCCUGACCGAGCAACGCCGCGUGAGUGAAGAAGGUUUUCGGAUCGUAAAGCUCUGUUGUAAGUCAAGAACGGGUGUGAGAGUGGAAAGUUCACACUGUGACGGUAGCUUACCAGAAAGGGACGGCUAACUACGUG
rnacentral:rRNA from 1 species